GAUGAACGCUGGCGGCGUGCCUAAUACAUGCAAGUCGAGCGAAGAGGGGAAGGGUGAGGAACACGUGGAUAACCUCCUAUAAGACGGGGAGAACUUCGGGAAAACGGAGCUAAACAGGAUACUGAUAGAUGGAUACGCGCUGCAUUAGCGAGUUGGUAAGGUAACGGCUUACCAAGGCAACGGUGCAUCGCCGACCUGAGAGGGUGAUCGGCCACACUGUAACUGAGACACGGUCCAGACUCCUACGGGAGGCAGCAGUAGGGAAUCUUCCGCAAUGGGCGAAAGCCUGACGGAGCAACGCCGCGUGAGUGAUGAAGGUCUUCGGAUCGUAAAACUCUGUUAUUAGGGAAGCGGUACCUAAUCAGAAAGCCACGGCUAACUACGUGCCAGCAGCCGCGGUAAUUC
rnacentral:rRNA from 1 species